GUAGGUGGCAAGCGUUGUCCGGAAUUAUUGGGCGUAAAGCGCGCGCAGGCGGUUCUUUAAGUCUGAUGUGAAAGCCCACGGCUCAACCGUGGAGGGUCAUUGGAAACUGGGGAACUUGAGUACAGAAGAGGAAAGCGGAGUUCCACGUGUAGCGGUGAAAUGCGUAGAGAUGUGGAGGAACACCAGUGGCGAAGGCGGCUUUCUGGUCUGUAACUGACGCUGAGGCGCGAAAGCGUGGGGAGCAAACAGGGAUUAGAUACCCUGGUAGUCCACGCCGUAAACGAUGAGUGCUAAGUGUUAGGGGGUUUCCCGCCCCUUAGUGCUGCAGCUAACGCAUUAAGCACUCCGCCUGGGGAUACGGCCGCAAGGCUG
rnacentral:rRNA from 1 species